AACCUAGCACACCUGCGGUGUGUACCUGCGGAAGGAUCAUUACCGAGUUUACAACUCCCAAACCCCUGUGAACAUACCUAUACGUUGCCUCGGCGGAUCAGCCCGCGCCCCGUAAAACGGGACGGCCCGCCCGAGGACCCUAAACUCUGUUUUUAGUGGAACUUCUGAGUAAAACAAACAAAUAAAUCAAAACUUUCAGCAAUGGAUCU
rnacentral:misc_RNA from 1 species